rnacentral:rRNA from 1 species
AACGAACGCUGGCGGCGUGCCUAACACAUGCAAGUCGAGCGCGAAAGUCCCUUCGGGGGCAAGUAGAGCGGCGGACGGGUGAGUAAUACGUGGAUAAUCUCCCCUCGAGCUUGGGAUAACCCCGCGAAAGUGGGGCUAAUACCGGAUAAGACCACAUGGCAUAUGCCACGGGGUAGAAGGUGGCUUGUAUUUAUAUGAGCUAUCACUUGAGGAUGAGUCCAUGGCCUAUCAGCUUGUUGGUGGGGUAAUAGCUCACCAAGGCUAUGACGGGUAGCUGGUCUGAGAGGACGACCAGCCACACUGGGACUGAGACACGGCCCAGACUCCUACGGGAGGCAGCAGUGGGGAAUAUUGGGCAAUGGGCGAAAGCCUGACCCAGCGGCGCCGCGUGGGUGAUGAAGGCCUUCGGGUUGUAAAGCCCUUUCAUGCGGAAAGAACAGCCCUGUAGCGAAUAACUGCAGGGUUUGACGGUACCGCAGGAAGAAGCACCGGCUAACUCCGUGCCAGCCGCCGCUGUAAAAC